UGAGUAACGGCGAGCGAAAGGGAGAGCCCAGCGCCGAAUCCCACCCUCGCAAGGGGGAUGGGAAAGGUGGGGUUUAGGAGUGAUCGUGCCGGAGGUUGACUCUGCAGCAAGUCCCCCUGACCGGGGCUGUUACCCAGAGUGGGUGCGAGGCCCAUAGCUGCUAGGUCUCCUCCGGAUGUGAUCUCCUUGGAGUCGGGUUGCUUGGGAGUGCAGCCCUAAUCGGGUGGUAAACUCCACCUAAGGCUAAAUACGGCCGUGAGACCGAUAGCAAACAAGUACCGUGAGGGAAAGUUGCAAAGAACUUUGAAGAGAGAGUUCAAGAGUACGUGAAACUGSUCAGAGGCAAACGGGUGGGCCCUCGAAAUCCUGUGGCGGGAGGAUUCARUCGGGAGGCGCGGACGCGGGGCUGGAAUACCACAAGAAUGGUUUCCUUGAAAGGACCGUUCCGGCUCCGCGGCUUCGUGYCGCCCGACGCAUUUGUUUCCCGUCCGAAGGACGCCGCAACCGGUUGGGGAACGGCCUUAAGGGCGAGUGAUGGCAGGUGGCCGGUGGCACCUUUUCUAAGGAGUCGCCGGUUGUUAGCCGACUCGUCGCACGGCACGUGACCCGACCGUGGUGUCGCAAGGCCCCACCGUGGGCUUUUCCGCCUCCUCCGUUUAGCGGACGCCGGGAUAGCAGCGGCAGGAGAUUCUCCGUCAAUGACUCUGCGGACGCACAGACCCACUCUCUGGUCCGUCGGAACGGAGGCUUCGUUGGUCGCAGGUUGCCCGUCGGAGUU
rnacentral:rRNA from 1 species